rnacentral:rRNA from 1 species
UACGUAGGGUGCAAGCGUUAAUCGGAAUUACUGGGCGUAAAGCGUGCGCAGGCGGUUAUAUAAAUCAGAUGUGAAAUCCCCGGGCUCAACCUGGGAACUGUAUUUGAGACUGUAUAGUCAGAGUACGGUAGAGGGGGAUGGAAAUUCGCGUGUAGCAGUGAAAUGCGUAGAUAUGCGAAGGAACACCGAUGGUGAAGGCAAUCCCCUGGACCUGUACUGACGCUCAUGCACGAAAGCGUGGGGAGCAAACAGGAUUAGAUACCCUGGUAGUCCACGCCCUAAACGAUGUCAACUGGUUGUUGGGUCUUAACUGACUCAGUAACGAAGCUAACGCGUGAAGUUGACCGCCUGGGGAGUACGGCCGCAAGGUUG